rnacentral:rRNA from 1 species
GGAGCAUGUGGUUUAAUUCGAAGCAACGCGAAGAACCUUACCAGGUCUUGACAUCCUCUGACAAUCUGAGAGAUCAGACUUUCCCUUCGGGGACAGAGAGACAGGUGGUGCAUGGUUGUCGUCAGCUCGUGUCGUGAGAUAUUGGGUUUAAGUCCCCGCAACGAGCGCAACCCCUGUGGUUAGUUGCCAUCAUUUAGUUGGGCACUCUAAGCAGACUGCCGUGGAUAACA